GCUCCCAUGGCGUAGUGGUCACUGUGCUCGCGUUGCACGCGGGAGACCCAGGUUCGAUUCCCGGCGGGGUCA
rfam:Asian citrus Psyllid, Diaphorina citri - Florida Strain, whole genome shotgun sequence.